rnacentral:rRNA from 1 species
AGAGUUUGAUCCUGGCUCAGAUUGAACGCUGGCGGUAUGCUUAACACAUGCAAGUCGAACGGUAACAGGCCUGGGUAACUGGGUGCUGACGAGUGGCGGACGGGUGAGUAACGCGUAGGGAUUUGCCUAGUAGAGGGGGAUAACCUGGGGAAACUCAGGCUAAUACCGCGUAAACCUAAGGGAGAAAGAGGGGGACUGUUAAAGGCCUCUCGCUACUGGAUGAACCUGCGUAGGAUUAGCUAGUUGGUAGGGUAAAGGCCUACCAAGGCUGAGAUCCUUAACUGGUCUGAGAGGACGACCAGUCACACUGGGACUGAGACACGGCCCAGACUCCUACGGGAGGCAGCAGUGGGGAAUAUUGGACAAUGGGCGCAAGCCUGAUCCAGCAAUACCGCGUGUGUGAAGAAGGCCUUCGGGUUGUAAAGCACUUUCAGGAGGGAAGAAGUGACGAUGGUGAAUAGCCAUGGUUGUUGACGUUACCUUCAGAAGAAGCACCGGCUAACUCUGUGCCAGCAGCCGCGGUAAUACAGAGGGUGCGAGCGUUAAUCGGAAUUACUGGGCGUAAAGGGUGCGUAGGUGGUUGGAGAAGUUGGACGUGAAAUCCCUGGGCUUAACCUAGGAACUGCGUUCAAGACUAGCCGGCUAGAGUAUGGUAGAGGUAAGUGGAAUUUCCGGUGUAGCGGUGAAAUGCGUAGAUAUCGGAAGGAACAUCAGUGGCGAAGGCGACUUACUGGACUGAUACUGACACUGAGGCACGAAAGCGUGGGGAGCAAACAGGAUUAGAUACCCUGGUAGUCCACGCCGUAAACGAUGAGAACUAGAUGUUAGGUAGCUUGACUACUUAGUAUCGAAGCUAACGCGAUAAGUUCUCCGCCUGGGGAGUACGGCCGCAAGGUUAAAACUCAAAGGAAUUGACGGGGGCCCGCACAAGCGGUGGAGCAUGUGGUUUAAUUCGAUGCAACGCGAAGAACCUUACCUACCUUUGAAUCCACAGAACCUUCUGGAAACAGAGGGGUGCCUUCGGGAACUGUGAGACAGGUGCUGCAUGGCUGUCGUCAGCUAGUGUCGUGAGAUGUUGGGUUAAGUCCCGUAACGAGCGCAACCCUUGUCCUUAGUUGCCAUCAGGUAAAGCUGGGUACUUUAAGGAGACUGCCGGUGAUAAACCGGAGGAAGGUGGGGAUGAUGUCAAGUCAUCAUGGCCCUUACAGGUAGGGCUACACACGUGCUACAAUGGCCGGUACAAAGGGACGCGAACUCGCGAGAGGGAGCAAAUCUCAGAAAGCCGGUCGUAGUCCGGAUUGGAGUCUGCAACUCGACUCCAUGAAGUUGGAAUCGCUAGUAAUCGUGGAUCAGCACGCCACGGUGAAUACGUUCCCGGGCCUUGUACACACCGCCCGUCACACCAUGGGAGUGGGCUGUACCAGAAGGAGAUAGGCUAACCGAAAGGAGGCCGUUUACCACGGUAUGGUUCAUGACUGGGGUGAAGUCGUAACAAGGUA